rnacentral:misc_RNA from 1 species
GGCUGUUGGUUGUAAUGGUUCUUAUCUUUCUUUUUUGCGGCGGCAAGUCUUGCGCUCCUUGCUGCAGCCUCAACGGCAGCAGCUUUGGCAGCAGAGUCCAUCUCUUUGCUUGAUUUUUUCUUCUUCAUCGAUGUCACCUUCUUAAGUCGCUCCUUCACAUCCACUGCCGAUGCGUCUUCCUCAGCAUCACCAUUCCCAGCAAGUUCAUCUGGCCCAGUGUUAACAUCAGAAUUGUUUCGCUGAUCCUGAUCCUUAACCUCUUUCUUUUCCUUC